AAGUCGUAACAAGGUUUCCGUAGGUGAACCUGCGGAAGGAUCAUUAUCAAUUACUUGUGACUGCUUCUUUUUUGAGAAGUGGUUGUAUGUUUUUGUGCACUGUUUCUUUUUGGUUAUUUUUUCUUUCUGAGAAAAAGUAGUCAAGAUGAAUUUGAUUUUCUUAUUAUUAUUUUUCUUUUUAUUUACUUUUUACAAGUAAUUAAUUAAAAAAAGACAACUUUCAGCAAUGGAUCUCUUGGCUCUU
rnacentral:misc_RNA from 1 species